UGCUUUUUUUUUAAAAAGCAUCCUUUGCUAAUUGAUUAAUUAAAAAGCCGUUUUACGCUAAGGUAGCGUAAUCAAAAGUCUAUUAAUUGUAGACCAGUAUGAAAGAGGAAACUUUAUUAAGCUUUUUUCAAAAGAUAUUUUGAAUUUAAUGGUACAAAAAAAAAAUACGAUUUUUACAAGACGAGAAGACCCUAAAAGCUGACUAUUUUCAAUAGUUUUUUGGGGAAAAAUUAUUAAAUUGAUUUAAUUUACAAAUUUAUUAAAAACUAAAAAAUAAGCUACUUUAGGGAUAACAGAGCAAUUAAUUUUUUUAGUUCUUAUAUAAAAAUUAAAUUGGGACCUCGAUGUUGGAUUCUUAUAAUAUUUAAUUGCAGCAAAAUAAAUAUUGAAACUGUUCGUUUCUUUAAAUAAA
rnacentral:rRNA from 1 species